GCCGCUGGGGGGCGGGGCGGAGACACGCCGGGGGCGGCCCUUCCCUGAGAAGGGGGAGGAAAUGGCGGACGCAGCGCGUCUUCCGCUCGCUGCCGCCUGCCGGGCAUGCGCGUUGCGGCGGCCCGCAGCCCCGAAGGGGUAGUCCCGUAAGGGCAGCCUGCUAUAGUCGGGGGAGUUCCUUCGAGGGGGAGGGGGUUACCAAAGCCGUGAGGCUUCUUCAUCUGCCGGUGCGUCCUGUUUCGGUCUGGUUUGUUUUUGUGUUGUUUUUUUCGCGGAGCUCUGAAGGAAUGCGCACCGUUUGCACGCUGCCUGUGGAGCCUAGGAGGUGCCUUUUGCUCCUAAGGCCAGUGAAGGAGAAACAGCAGUCUGAGGUUUAAGCAGCAGUCACAAGAGAUUAGAUGCUGCUAAGUGUAACGAAGUGUGAAGGUAACAAGAUGAAUGAACCAGAGGCUUUUCAACUUGAUGACAUCCUCCAGUGUGUAAUGUUUCAGCAACUCUGAAGUGAAAGAUAUGCUGGUGCACUUUUGGAAACCUGAAGAACAAGAAUCUGCCAGGGAGCCUAGAUGGGACCUUAAAAAGAAAUCUACAAAUUAUUUAACUACUAUUAAAAAUUAAAAAAGAAAUGCUGACUAAAGGUCCCAAUUAAUACAUUGUAUCAACUUCUACUAAUUUAGUUCCUCCACUUCAUUACAGAAGGACAUUAUCCAAAGUGUAUUAGCAGUGUUUCAUUAAAGCCAGCUGAGGGCAGACUUGAACUGGAAACUACUUUUGCUGCUUCAGUUACUUGAACUUAGAAUACCAGAUAAUCCCCUGAGCUCAAAGCUAAUGACAAUCUCAUCACUUCCCUACUAUUCUAAUUACACUUGUGCUGCAUAAAAGCUUCUUUACAAUUGCUGUUUGACAAAAUGAGUGUUUGCUAUGUCGCAGUAAGAAUAGUGAAUGUUUAAAUAAAGAUGCUAAUAUGAAAGUGGAUGUCAGUGUGUUAGCAGCUGUGUGUUACUCACAGGGGAGAAUCCACACUGCAUAAUAAUUAGCCAUGUAUAUCUUAAAAUGUUUUUUAAAAGCCAGUGAAUAUCAUCAUUUUUAAUUAAUAGCUAUUUUACAGAUGAAGAGACUGAGGAAUAGUGUGUCAGCCUUGCAAGUAACUCAUGCAGGUGACCUACAGAAGCAAGAACAAAAUCCAGAUUUCUGAGAUCUAGUGCAGUGCUCCUUAGCACAGAUAAACUAUGACAUGUCUAACUCUUGCAAACAUUACGGAAAUGAUUGAUAGCAGCCCAAAUUGCUGAGGCUGAGGAGCUUACACUAAUGAAAUAGGCAGUUGACCUGACAGGCAGGUUGUAGCUCUUGAGAAGAAUAUUCUCCCAGGAGAAUGGGUGGCGAUCAGAUCAGAUGGCUAAAGAUCUGCUAUAAGAAUAGUAUUUUACUAUUAAAACAAGUACUCUGCAUUUUUAUGUAUAUUUGUCAUUCUUUAAGUUAGACUGUUCUCUUUCCAAGGAGUGAAGAGCCUUUCUAUGUAGACCUUUAAAGCCAUUCAAAUCUCAGUACUAGGAAAAGUAUGAUUAAAAAGUCAGUUUGCAUACAGGUGAAGGAUUAAGAUGCUAAUAGACUGUUCCCCCCUUCCGUUCAUCUUUAAUUACGAGGGUUUUAAAUUAUAAGUGCUACAGUAGGCUUCCUGUUAACUCACCAAGGCCACCCCAGGUAUUGUACACUGUGGUCAGUAACGUUUAUGGGAUUAGGGUGACUAUCCCAUUUUCUUUAUAUGCUUAGGAGGUCAUUACCCAUUGAAACAGCUCUUUAAAUUAUAAAAAUGCGCUGAUUUUUUUAAUCUGUAAGCCUUAGUGUAAAACUUUCUGUUUCUAGAGAAGACCAGAGGCAUGCUGUUAGAGAGCUUGCCAUUCCUAAGGCUUGUGUAAGACGUACCGCAGAACAUUUGGUGCUGCGUAUUGAAAACUCCAUUUGUAGAAUGGAUGAACACAGUGCACAAAGCAUUCUUCCCUGUUUUUUCUUACUGCUAAUUUGCAGUGGGCAUUUGUUGAUGGUGGGAAUUAGUCAUUGGUUUAUAUGACUCCAAUGAAAAGGACCACAUUGAAAAUUAUAAAUUGGAAUGUGAAUGAGUGGGUACUUACACUUUGGACUCAAAUACUGUAUAACCUAUUACUGUGUUAUUCAUUUUUGGUAUUUUUUCCAGACAAAUCACAUUAAAAUAGGAGUCACAAAUAUCUGUCAGAGAUUUAAAGUAAAUUAAAACAAUGUGGCAAUUAUUCCAAAACUUAUUGCUGUAAAUUCAAGAAAUGAAUUUCAUGAUAACCUUCAAAGUAAGGCCAGAGACAGAGGUACAGGGUUGGCAUUCAGACAACCUUUACGAUAGCCUGUUACUGACUUUUCAGGUCUAUAUUCAAGAUUUUCUAAGUACUGUGUGAAGGUUUGUAAGAAUAGAUUACAAAAGAGGCCACUCUGAAUUCGUUUAAGAUUCUUGACGAUUCUUGAUGAUUCCUCCUUGUACUUUAUAAUUUUAGACCUCACAAAGAGCUGACAGCUCGAAAUAGUCAUCACUUCCCAUAACUCACAGAGGCCUGAAAAUGCAAUUACCUCAAAAGGGAAAAGAUUCAUUUUCUCUUCUACAGAAGGUAAGCUCUCCUCUUCUCAAAAUAACCACUAAUUGAAGGCAUUUAUUUACAAACUAAUUUUGUAGUAAACCACUGUAUCCCUUAGCUCAAGACGAAACAAGAAAGAUAAUGAUUCAAUUAACUAAAACUGCUGCUUUGAGAAAUGUGGUUUCCAGUGUCAAACUUGUGUAAUUCAUCCCUAAUUAUACAUUGCUAUCUAUACAUUAAAAAAAGAAAUCAUACUCCCAGGGCAAAUGCUAUGACUUUGGGAAGGAUACAUAAAAUAUACCAUAUUUUGAGUCUAAAAUUAAAUCUUAAACCAGUGUAGCACCAAUGCCUUCCAAAAUUUUUUAGAUUUGCUGUAUUUCAGUGUGAGGAGGCUUUAGCUCUUGUUUAAUCCCCUCUCUCAGUCUCUAACAUGUUCUUCAUUCUCAGUGCAAAGUUCAAUAUACUGGAAGAGCUAGUACAUUCUCCAGCGAGAGUGUGAAGGUGUGGGCUCAUGGGAAGGACAACAUCCAUCCACCCCCCAGAUAAACCUAAGCCCAUCUUCCCUCCUUAUAGGUGGCUUUUUUAACCUUUUGUUCCAUCAUAAAAACUAAAACUUUCUGUGGUAAAAUUCCCUGUCUAUUAAAACCACAGAUAAAUCCACUCUGCAGUCCUGAAGUUUUUUUUGACAACUUGUAAGUGAUAAACAUAAAAAUCAUGUAUAAAUAGAAAAAGUGUUGAUAAAGCAAUUAUGUAAAAUAGGGUGUAUAUGAAAAUUAAUGUAAAAAAUAUCCUGAAUAUGGGGAAAAAUGAGAGGAGCGUUCCACCACCAGUUAUAUCUGUUCAGUACAUGGAGUUAAAGGAGAUUUCUUAUUUCUUACCGUGUUGUUGUUACUUAUGCAACUCAUUAUGUCUUUAAGUUAAAACCAUUAACCAUUUCCAAGGGGAAAUAGGCCUGAACUUUUUGGGGCACGGCAAGUUUUUCCUGCUCUGGGCUUCACAGGUUUACAGCUCUACCUCCACCAUGACCUUUUCUUAGACUAAUCCCACGUGGCGUAUACUCUCUUUUGUUUGUACCCAGCUUUCCCUUUUAUUUGUAAUACAGACAUUAAAUGUUCAAAAACAUUAACGAUUUAAGAGUCGUUAAGAUAUUACUACCUCAGAAGCACGUCGCUGUUAGGUACAGUUGCGUGUGUUGUGCUGAGCAGGCCCAACUCAGUUACAGAGGGAGUUGCAGGUAAUGCAAAAUAACUGUCUUAGAGCAGUAGCUGUUGCUAUAUUUCUUUACAUGGAAACAAAUGGAUACAUAUACACUGUCUGAAUAAAGAACAUGAUGUUGUGUGCCUGUGACAAAAAAAAGAGAGUAUUUUAUAGUCAAAUUAUAUUUAGUUUUGGAUAAAAGAAAAUUAAAGAAAUAUGAAUAUACCGUGUAUAAAGCUUGUACAAUCGUAUUUCAUCAACAUCACUUACUCUGGUCGUGUACUUUCAGUGAUGGGAGUUUUAAUGAUGGAAAAGAUACUUCUAUGGAAAUUAAAGCCUGUUGCUGCAAAGUUGCCAGGACCCUUAAAUGUGUGCUGAAGUGUCCUCCUCCCUUUCAGUAAAUUAAGCAUGUUUAUAGUUGCUGUCCAGAGUAGCAGAAAAACAAUUGCUUCCUUGUUUAGAACUUUGCUGAGUCUGCUACCUGUGAGCAGACUCUCCUUCAUUCAUCUGAAACUACUAGUCACUAAUCUCAUUCCUGACAUACUUCAGCCUCCAACAGUCUGUUCCAACUUCUGUUACACCUUCUGGGAAUCUCUGUAUAGCAAUUUCUUUUUCUCCCCAGUUGGCUCCAAGCCAGAAAUACACCAAUUUGCACAAAUGCUCCUUAACCUUGUUCACACUGGGGUUUUUUUUCUUUUUUUUUUUUUUUCUUUCCUUUCUGCUUCUCUGGUUGUUGUAUACUUUUAUAGUAAACAUAGUACUUGCAUAGUUUUUCUGUAUAAUAAACCAGUGGUUACUAUGCAUUUUCUAAACUACUGUUUGUUUCACUUCAAGUGCACUGAAUAAAAUUAUUUCUCCAUGA